rnacentral:lncRNA from 1 species
CGAACAUCCGGGGGUUUGGGCCGCCAUUUUGUAUUUUUCUGUCGACUUCGAUGUUCCUCGUGUCGGCUGCCCUCUGCGUCGUACCGUAACCCGCGGUCCUGCUGGUCCUAAUUACGCGCUAACAGUGGCAGCGCUUCAGGACGUUGCACGCUACGCGUGUUCCUGCCUCAGGCCGACUCUGGAAGAACUGGCCCGGGCCUGCGAAAUGUGAGGCACGCUUUGAGAGACUUGGUGCCCGGAACGCCUGCCGACACCGCAGCAGCAAACGUGUAUACCGGCUGCUACCAGAGACGGCUCACUGUUCGACCUGUGAAACAGCGGUGACCGCGGACAUUUUUAUCCGUCAAGUUGCUCCUUCUCGGCACAUUCGACCUCCCGGAAUGUAUGAGACGUCCAGCCGGCAUUUCAGCCCUUGGGGCGUUUGCGACGUUACCAUACGCCAACGACACCCCAGUUGAGCCGACGAAGCGUACGAGUCUGAAGUCGUGCCUGCGGAGUACUCGUUUUUUUGUUUGUGCGCGUUCCCACUCGUCGGCGACACCUGGACUGUGAACUGCGGAGGUGGAACUUUGACCGUGGCUGUUAACGGAGGACCUGCGCAGCAACCCCUCGUCACGUCGAGCGUCGUCACGGCGAGCUUCCACACGUCGAGCGUCGUCAACGCUCAACAAGUAAAGUGCUGUAGAUGGUCCCCAAGCUGGCGAGGGUGGCGCACGCCUUAGAGAAGUUAACUGUUUGUUGAGUUCCACUAGUUAGCGCUCGCUAGGCGUGUAUAGCUACAUUUGAAAAUUAUGUAAAUUUAGUUUUUUUGCUUAACUGUAAGCCCGAGUUUCGUGGGCAUGGCUGCGGUCACAUGGGUCUUCUCCGUGCCGGAAUCGAAGAGGACGGGCCACCGUGUUCGGGGUGGCGGCGCGUAGCUUCAGGCUUAGCUGACACAAGGCUUAGCUCACACUAGGCAGGCUAGCUGACAGCCGUCCUCUUUCGACUGCGUCAGGGACAUGGACCCGUUCCGAAUUGCGUUGCGACCCGAGACCACUAUUUCGUGACAGGGUAGCCCGGGCGCGUCAGUGCUAUCGAGCGAAAUGUGGAAUCGGGGAAGCAAACGCGGCAUUCGGAAUUUCCUCGCCAGCUUUAGCUACUAAUCCUGUUAAUGCAGCCCUCGACGCCGGACGUCGCCUGCGGUCCACAUCGGAGCUCGGCCAAGCAGCAGCGACAAGUAUCACUCGUACCGCGGCCUACCGUGUUCCUUCGUCGGUGUGGUCUUGCUGGCAGACGAUACCUUGGUCAUCGCCCUGCAUCAAUACGGAAUCCCAAUGUAUGCUUUCGACUGCGGUCCACGAAUAGGAAGGACAUCCAGUGUACUGCUCCAUACUUGCCAUCCUCCCAACGUCAUCCCACAGGAGAUGGCCUUGUGCACCACACGUACCGUGGCUGACUGCGUAUACUGCUGAUCUCAUGCAACGCUCCUGCCGCUUGGCUGCUGAGAAAACUGAAGCCUCGGCGCUGCCACUCACGCUAGGUUGGAACUGCUCGGCUGCUCUGGGCGUGACUCGACGUGACUAAGCUUCCAGCUGUCAAAAACCCCGUAGCAAGUUUUUCUAGCAGGAUACCGAUGUCUGCUGUCUGCUUUCGAUUGCCGCCCACGAGUAGGAAUGAUAUCCAGUGCGCUGCUCCACGUUUACCAUCCUCCCAACGUCCCAUGGGAGAUGACCUUGAGCACCACUCGUACCGUGACCGACUGUGCUCCUUCGCCGCUGUGGUCUUCCUGGCAGACAAGAUUGCUCAUCGCCCUGCUCUGCUAUGGGAUCCCGACGUCUGCUUUCGAUUGCGGCCCACGAGUAGGAAGGAUAUCCCAUGUGCUGCUCCACGUUUGCCAUUCUACCAACGUCCCCCCGGAGAUGGCUUAGAGCAACAUUCGUACCGUGGCUGACCGUGUGUGUUACAUUGCAUUCCCUCACCGAUGGCGUCCUGCUAGCAGACGAGACCUUGCUCCUCGCCCCCUACUACUGGUGUCUAUUUUCGAUGGUGGUGCACGAGGACGUUCCAGCCAGUGUUGCCAAAAGAUGAGAUCAUAUUCAGCAGCAAUCGUCCCAUGGCUCCCCGUUAGCACAUUGGCCGGCAGCUGUGGACAUCGAAGUCCGAGCGUGGCCACUAACCAAGGAACUGCGGAGCAACCCCUCGUCACAGCAAGCUUCUACACGAGCUUAAACGCUCAACAACCCUCGACGCCGGACGUCGCCUGCGGUCCGCAUCGGAGCUCGGCCGGACAGCAGCGACAAGUAUCACUCGUACCACGGCCUACCGUGUUCCCUCAUCGGUGUGGUUUUGCUGGCAGGCGAGACCUUGGUCAUCGCCCUGCACCCAUACGGCGGUAACGUGGCCGUGCAGCAGCUACUAGGAUGACCUUGAGCACCAUUGGUGCCUUCACCGACCGCGUUAACUCCUUCGCAUUCCCUCGCUAUGGAGGUCUUGGUGCAAGACUGGACUUAGAUCCUCUCCCGGCACUAC